rnacentral:lncRNA from 1 species
GUCACGACCAGUAGGAUACAGGUUGUGAUUAAAAGUAUACUUGUAUUGGAUCCGUUAAAAAUUUUUGUAGUGGUUGUUGUUAUGGUUCUUGCAAAAAAGAUUGAUGAUGAAACCGAAAAUAGUGAAAUUGAAAAGCAAGGUAAACGAUUGGCUUUUGAUGAAAAUUGGCUCCACAAGCCUAAAGAUAAAUUUAGAAUGGGUAGUGAUUGCGUAACAAUGCAGCCUCUUGAUUAUUCUACUGUAAAAAAGAUGAGCGAGCAAAGACUAAAGCACAAGAAGUUACACACUUUAAUUACAGAACUUUCUUUGUACAUUUUUUAUGCAU